AUCCUGGCUCAGGAUGAACGCUAGCUACAGGCUUAACACAUGCUAAGUCGAGGGGAAACGAUAGAGGAAAGCUUGCUUUUUCUAGGCCGUCGACCGGCGCACGGGUGAGUAACGCGUAUCCAACCUGCCCAUCACUUGGGGAUAACCUUGCGAAAGUAAGACUAAUACCCAAUGAUAUCUCUAGAAGACAUCUGAAAGAGAUUAAAGAUUUAUCGGUGAUGGAUGGGGAUGCGUCUGAUUAGCUUGUUGGCGGGGUAACGGCCCACCAAGGCGACGAUCAGUAGGGGUUCUGAGAGGAAGGUCCCCCCACAUUGGAACUGAGACACGGUCCAAACUCCUACGGGAGGCAGCAGGUGAGGAAUAUUGGUCAAUGGACGAGAGUCUGAACCAGCCAAGUAGCGUGCAGGAUGACGGCCCUAUGGGUUGUAAACUGCUUUUAUAAGGGAAUAAAGUGAGUCUCGUGAGGCUUUUUGCAUGUACCUUAUGAAUAAGGACCGGCUAAUUCCGUG
rnacentral:rRNA from 1 species